CUCGCUCCUCCGCUCGGAGUGAAGGGUUUUAGGGUUUUAACGGCCCCCAUUGGAGACUAGAGACUAAGUACGAAAAGAGUUCCCCUUCUCCUCCACCGCUCCUCUCCUCUUCUCCUCCUACUUCGAAGAGUUCUAGCAAUUAGGGUUUCUUCAUCGAACGCCAUGUUGGCGCUCCGAAGAGCAGCGAACAUCACAAGGUCUCCGAGUACGCAUAGAUUUGUUGCUCGAGCUUUUUGUGCUAAUUUGGGAGUCAAAAAUAGCAACUUGAAGCAUUUUACUGAGAGAGCUUCGCACACAGACAGAGGCCAUGCUUCGACAAAUCAUUUUCCUUGUGGACGUUCGGCAACAUGUCUUGCAAUUCGAAACCUUUGUUCACAAUCUGGAGCUAAUACAGAUUUAAGACAAGAACGUGGAAAAGUCGACAAAUUUGCAGACAAUGAGGGCAACAAACAGCUUUUGAUUGAGCAAGAAAUCCCCGACGAUGAAUCAGAAGCGGAUGAGGCAGAAGCUGUAGACAAUGUUCUCAGAGUAUCAAAUGAUGAAACUGAUUUUAGUAUCAGCAAGAAAUUCGAAGGGAAGUACCUGAAACCUCCGUUGUUUAAGGUUAUAAUGGAAGCUUCAUGGGAGUCUCUUAGCACUGUGCUUAAUAUAUGGGUUGAAGAAGGCAACUCAUUGGGGAGGGACGAGAUCUCCGUGGCCUUGCAUGGCCUUCGGAAACGGCAGCUAUAUGGAAAGGCCUUACAGUUUGUGGAGUGGUUGGAAACAACUAAACGCCUCAACUUCGUUGACCAUGAUUACGCUUAUCAUCUGGACUUGAUUGCAAAAGUCCAUGGCGUUGAAAAGGCCGAAAGGUACAUAAGAAGGAUCCCCGAAUCCUUUAAGACCGAGGCAAUCUACGAAGCCCUGCUAACUAAUUACGUCAGUACCAACAAUAUCAAGAAAGCGGAAGAAGUCUUUAACAAAAUAAGGGAUCUUUCAUUGCCUGUCACCAUCUUUUCUUGCAACCGACUCUUAUUGUUAUAUAAAAGGCAUAGGCGCAACAAAAUUGCAGAUCUGCUUACAAUGAUGGAAAAGGAAAAUGUUAAGCCGUCUUUGUUCACGUACAAGCUAUUAAUUGAUUUGAAAGGCCGAUCACAUGAUAUAGCUGGUAUGGAGAAUAUCAUCGAAACAAUGAAAAUGAAUGGUGUCGAGCCCGAUGUUGCAGCUCGAGCUUUAGUGGCAAGCCACUACAUAGUAGGAGGGCUUAAUGAUAAAGCCGAAAAAACUCUCAAGGAGAUGGAAGGGGAAGCUGAUAGCAAUAACCGAAAUGCUUUUAAGUCUCUCCUUCCCUUAUAUGCAGCUCUUGGAAGAGCCGAUGACGUCAAGAGAAUUUGGAAGCUGUGUGAGGAAAACCCUACUUUGGACGAAUUCUCUGCUGUUAUUGAGGCGUGGGGAAAGCUAGGGCAUGUAGAGGAAGUCGAGAAUGCAUUUGUGACCAUGUUGAAGAGACAUAAAAAGGUUUCUUCUGUAUACUAUAAUGUAUUGUUAAAUGUAUAUGCAAAUCAUAAGCUUCUCACUAAGGGUAAGGAAUUGGCAAAAAGGAUGGGGGAGAAUGGGUGCAGAAUUGGCCCAUUGACGUGGGACGCACUUGUGAAGCUCUAUGUAAAAGCCGGGGAAGUAGAAAAAGCAGAAUCAAUACUGCAGAAGGUUGUGCAGGGUAAGAAGGGGAGACCGCUUUAUGGCUCGUAUGUAACUAUUUUGGAAGAGUACGCUAAGAGGGGGGAUAUUCAUAACUCGGAAAAGAUAUUUCGAUGUAUGAAGAUGAUGGACUAUUUAGGAGGGAUGGCACAGUACAAGUUGUUGCUUGAGGCUUAUAAAAAAGCCGAGAAACCGGCAUAUGGAUUUAGAGAGAGGAUGAGGUCGGAUAAUAUGUACCCUGGCAAGCAAAUGCUGACACAGUUGGAAGAAGUUGACGCAUUUAAAAAGAGAUAUAUUUCAGAAUCGAUUGGCUGAGGAGGAAUCUUUUCAAAUUCAUGUUUAUGGGAUAACAAAAGGAUGGACUCCAGUUGAAAGUAAACCCUCUUCUCUCUUUUCUGACAAAAAGUCUAUUUGAACCGGUCUUGGACUCGAACCACCAGGGCGUGAGCCAUCUGUCUCCGGUGAGCCAGCAAUGGUGCAAGCUACCUGGCCGAGCCGACCAACGCAAAGGGCUUGAACAUAGUAUGCGCGGCUACUUCUUCAACAGACCCCCAUGAGGGUUCAACGACAGCGGCGUCGCUACCACCGAUGACCUCUAUCUUGGAGCUCUUCUUUGGUACCAACCACCCCGCAGCAAGGCACACCCCGGCGCGGACGAAAUUCUUGCUUUUUAUUUGAUGAGUAAAAAAGCAGAGUUUUCUUUUGGGGGGUAUAUUUUGGGUGAACUUUAAUCUUGCAUGCUCUGUUUUGGUACAUAUAAAAGAUGUUUUUUUGUUUUUUGAGAGAGAUAA